CCUACGGGUGGCAGCAGUGGGGAAUAUUGCGCAAUGGGCGAAAGCCUUACGCAGCGACGCCGCGUGCGGGAUGAAGGUCUUCGGAUCGUAAACCUCUGUCAGCAUGGAAGAACGGUCCCUGUGCUAAUCAUCAGUGAAUUGACGGUACCUGCAAAGGAAGCACCGUCUAACUCCGUGCCAGCAGCCGCGGUAAUACGGAGGGUGCGAGCGUUAAUCGGAAUUACUGGGCGUAAAGCGCUCGUAGGCGGUAUGUCAAGUCAAGGGGGAAAUCCCCGCGCUCAACGUGGGAACUGCCUUUGAAACUGGAAAACUGGAGUGGGUGAGAGGAUAGGGGAA
rnacentral:rRNA from 1 species